rnacentral:rRNA from 1 species
AUUGAACGCUGGCGGCAGGCCUAACACAUGCAAGUCGAGCGGAUGAAGGGAGCUUGCUCCUGGAUUCAGCGGCGGACGGGUGAGUAAUGCCUAGGAAUCUGCCUGGUAGUGGGGGAUAACGUCCGGAAACGGGCGCUAAUACCGCAUACGUCCUGAGGAGAAAGGGGGGGAUCUUCGGACCUCACGCUAUCAGAUGAACCUAGGUCGGAUUAGCUAGUUGGUGGGGUAAAGGCCUACCAAGGCGACGAUCCGUAACUGGUCUGAGAGGAUGAUCAGUCACACUGGAACUGAGACACGGUCCAGACUCCUACGGGAGGCAGCAGUGGGGAAUAUUGGACAAUGGGCGAAAGCCUGAUCCAGCCAUGCCGCGUGUGUGAAGAAGGUCUUCGGAUUGUAAAGCACUUUAAGUUGGGAGGAAGGGCAGUAAGUUAAUACCUUGCUGUUUUGACGUUACCAACAGAAUAAGCACCGGCUAACUUCGUG